rnacentral:lncRNA from 1 species
CGCCACUCACUGUAGAACCCCAGCAGCGUCACCGAAAAGCCGCUCUGGGCCAAUGACAGCGCGUGGUACUGCAUGCGGGGGCUGCGGCCCACGUCGCCCAGCACCACAACGACCACAUGUCGUGCCCUGCCGGCCUGCCGCCCACGCUUCCACAGACCCACCAGCAGCACGGACAGCAACAGCAGCAAAGCCAGCAGCGCCACGCAGGACGCUGCCAUCUUGGCCGGCCGGCAGCGAGCACGUGACCGGACCAGGAAGCCACGCUGUGCGCAGGCGCACACCCAGACCCUGCAGUGGGUGGGGGGGUGAUGAAACCACCUCUGUAAAGUAGGAGGAGGCGGGUCCUUGGAUAAGGCGGGGUCUGGAAGAACAAGACCUGGACGAUGGGGGCUGGCUCUGAACGGAGGGGCGGGCCCUGGAAAGGAUAGGAGGCCUUUGAUGAAAACUUAAUGAAUUAGUAAGCUGUAACCAUGUCAAGUUCCCUGAACCGUGUUUUUCCCCUGUGAAAGUAAAGCUGUACCUUUA